GGAAGAUUCUCAGAGGACUACAGCUAAGAACCAUCCGUCUGAGCACAUACCUAUAUCUUAGUGUGCCAGGGGAGCUCAGAGCUCACAACUACCUGGGAAAAGGAAGUCAGGGCGCUGAGUCCUGGGCCAAGGGGGUCUCCAUGAAACUUAGUCUGACUCCUUGUACCAUGGCUCUCUCCAUGUUCCAGGCAGAGAGAAUCCCAGCUUACUAUUAUCUGUGCUUCACAUCAAGAGCUGAUCUCAUGGGCUGACCUCAAUAUCUCUCCCCAGGGCAGCAGGGGACCAAAGAGGGUCUGCAAUGACAUGCAGAAAGCACUUGAGCCCUCCUGCUGUUGAAAAUCCUCCUUUGGCCUUGGCCGGGCAGAUGGGGCCACAGGGGCUUGGAGAAGGCCACACAGACUUCUCCGUCUCUCAUGCCUCUGCCUGGAACAUUUUCUACUGUGUCAUCCUCUCACCAACUCCUACCUGUCCUUCAGCACCAGCUCCCCGGCCACUUUCCCAGAGUAUCUACAUGGACCCCGGGGGCGGGGGUGCUGAUCUCUCUGUCCUGUAUCCUGUAUUUCUCCCCCACCGCACUGCUCUGGCCAUAGUUGAUCGCCGGGGACAAUCUAUCAGCUCUCUCUCCAGCCACAGGGAUGCCAACACAAUGCCCAGGUAAGUAAGCCAGGUGCUACUCAACCCUGCAUAUCUGGCAAAUGGACAGUGGCAUCCUCUACAGAGAUUUGAUCUCCAGAAGGUACUGCCCCAAGGCCCUGCAGGCACCUCAGGCAGUUCAGGGUGGGACAGGGGGCCCUGUUGUCACACUGAGUACAGGCCAGGACAGGUGCUGGUCAAGGGGAUCAGAGGAGCAGCUGGAUCCAAAUGUCUUAUAAUAGGUUGGCAAGGGAGAAAUAAGCCUGUGCAAGGACAGUGCCCAAUAGGAAUCACCAAGUGCCCUUUCUUUAACUAAACUCCCUUCUUGCAGGAGGCAGCCUUGGAAUUCCAGGGUGCUCCUGCUUUCCCCUGGAGCCUAAUUUUCUCACCUGUAAAAUGAUGAGACCUAACUGAUCUGAAUGUCAAAAUAUCAGCUGACAGUAUGUUUUUUGUGAGGGGAGUUAUUGAACUGAACAUCAUUUUGCUUUUUCCUUCUUUGCAGAACCUCAGGCCAGAGGUGAGGGUGAGGGCAAGGAAUACUCCUGGUCCCUGGGAGGGGGAAUUGCCUUCCUCAUGAUGGUAAAGGAUUACAUGAUUCAUAGUUUUUGGUGAGGUUGGUUCUGGGAAGAAAUAAGAAACAGGUUCCUGCUAACUUUGCGGAGAGGACAGUUUUCCUUUGCCCUUCUGAGCCAUGUUGUUCAAAUGCACACUAGGACCCUUACACUGGAAGGUACCAAGAAAGAGAAGGUGGAAUGAUCCAGCUCUGUCCUCGGGGGGCACCCUCCCCAGGGAGCAGAGUUGUGCACAAGGACGAACUUUCUAGGCAAUUCCUAAGUAUGGGAGGCCCAAGUGUAGUCUUUACCUUCACUAGCUCCAGAGACCUUGCCAGAGCCCUGGCCUUUAGCUCCAUAUCCGGUUCUCCUCCCUCAUGGGCAGCUGCUUGACAGCUCAUACACAUCUCCAACACUGGCUCUGGAAACUCUCCGCAGAUUCACUGCACCCAUGGGAGUCCACUCUAGACUUCCAAUUGCUUAGACCAAAAUCUUGGUGUCAUCUCUCUCACAACUCACACCCAAUCUGCCAACCAGGCAUGUUAACUCUACCUUAAAAUAUGUACCAAACCUGAUUCACAAUGAUAGGAAGCAGAUCUGUGGUGCCUGGAGUGCAGGCUGAGGUAGAAUGGCCAAAAUCUUGAGGACAGUUUGAAGAUGAUGGAAAUCUAAGUACUAUGAUUAUGGAAAUGGUUGAAUGGGUG
ensembl:lincRNA